rnacentral:rRNA from 1 species
AUACGUAGGGUGCGAGCGUUGUCCGGAAUUACUGGGCGUAAAGAGCUCGUAGGUGGUUUGUCGCGUCGUCUGUGAAAUUCCGGGGCUUAACUCCGGGCGUGCAGGCGAUACGGGCAUAACUUGAGUACUGUAGGGGAGACUGGAAUUCCUGGUGUAGCGGUGAAAUGCGCAGAUAUCAGGAGGACCACCGGUGGCGAAGGCGGGUCUCUGGGCAGUAACUGACGCUGAGGAGCGAAAGCAUGGGUAGCGAACAGGAUUAGAUACCCUGGUAGUCCAUGCCGUAAACGGUGGGCGCUAGGUGUAGGGGUCUUCCACGACUUCUGUGCCGUAGCUAACGCAUUAAGCGCCCCGCCUGGGGAGUACGGCCGCAAGGCUAAAACUCAAAGGAAUUGACGGGG